rnacentral:rRNA from 1 species
AUUGAACGCUGGCGGAAUGCUUUACACAUGCAAGUCGAACGGCAGCACGGACUUCGGUCUGGUGGCGAGUGGCGAACGGGUGAGUAAUGUAUCGGAACGUGCCCAGUCGUGGGGGAUAACGUAGUGAAAAUUACGCUAAUACCGCAUACGAUCUAUGGAUGAAAGCGGGGGAUCGCAAGACCCCGCGCGAUUGGAGCGGCCGAUAUCAGAUUAGGUAGUUGGUGGGGUAAAGGCCCACAAAGCCAAAGAUCUGUAGCUGGUCUGAGAGGACGACCAGCCACACUGGAACUGAGACACGGUCCAGACUCCUACGGGAGGCAGCAGUGGGGAAUUUUGGACAAUGGGCGAAAGCCUGAUCCAGCCAUUCCGCGUGCAGGAUGAAGGCCCUCGGGUUGUAAACUGCUUUUGUACAGAACGAAAAGGUUUCUACUAAUACUAGGAGCUCAUGACGGUACUGUAAGAAUAAGCACCGGCUAACUACGUGCCAGCAGCCGCGGUAA